rnacentral:misc_RNA from 1 species
GGAGGUAAAAGUCGUAACAAGGUCUCCGUAGGUGAACCUGCGGAGGGAUCAUUACAGAGUUCAUGCCCUACCGGGUAGAUCUCCCACCCUAUGUUAUUAUUACUUUGUUGCUUUGGCGGGCCGUUAGGCUCCGGCCCGACUACCGGCCCCGGCUGGUAAGCGCCCGCCAGAGGACCCAAAACCCUGAAUAUUAGUGUCGUCUGAGUACUAUAUAAGAGUUAAAACUUUCAACAACGGAUCUCUUGGUUCUG